GAAUUUUCUUAAUUCAUUGACAAUUCUUCUAAAAUUAUUUUUGAUUGUUGAAUUACAUAAUCUAUAGAAAUUAAGAAGUAGGGAGGAUAAGAGACGCAAAGAAAACUUAGGGCAUUUUCAUGGGAUAUUACAUAGUCUUGUGGAGAAAGAUAUAAUUUGGAGAGAUAGAAUGAACCCUAAAGUUAGGCAAAAAGAUAAAGUGGGUUCUUGAAAAUCAAGUAGAGAAGUUUAGAUUUGAUACUGUAGGAAAAGGAAAAUCUUCAAAGUUUUUUCCUCAGAGGUUCUUAUGAUUUGAGUUAAGCUAACAGUAGGUUAAUCAGCCAAAAUUAUUCAGGAUCAAUAUGAGGAAGCACAUAGAUUUUUUAUUUUGAGAUCAGAAAGAGAAGGGAAUUAAAGCAUGUUGCUUUCCCACUUUCCCACUGUGUGCCACGCACCAUGCUAGAUGUCCUAUGUAAGAAACACAACAUGUGUUCUCCCAUAGGAUGGGAGAAUUGAGCAAUGCUGUGUUCAAAUCCCGUAUCUGCCACAUCUAGUGUGAUCUAGGGUGUAGGACUUAACUUCUCUGAGCAUGAGUCUCUUCACUUGAAAACAGGGAUGGUAAAGCUUACGUCACAGAACUGUGGUGAAUUCUGAAUAGCAUAUGUAACAUGCUUUGUACAGCAUGCACAAAAAUAAUGCCUAUUUGUCUUCCUUUUCCUCCACAAAUGAUGAUGGGAUAUGACAGGAAAAAUGGUUCUCAAAGUUGGCUUCACAAUGGAAUUUGACUGGCUUUAAAACCCACUGAUGUCUGAGCCCCACAUCAGAGGUCUGUGGGAGUGUGGAAGACUUGAAAAUCUUCCCAGGUGAUUCUAAUGCGCAUUCAAGAUUGAGAAACUCUGGACCAAAAGUUCAAGGAAAGAACAAAUCCCACACAGUUUAUGUGGGGAGUUGCAGUGCACCCUGACCAAGGAGAAGGAUGACGGAAGGCCAAUGGUGGAUGUGUUCCCUAUCUGAGAACACCACAGAAGGUGCAUCUGGAAGCCAGUCGAGUAUUGUGGCUUCACAGCUUGCGUGGAACUUCUCGUUCUCUCACUGAUGAGCUGUGGAACUUUCAGCAAAUUAGCUAAUGUCCCUGUGCUUCUGUUUCCUCAUCAGUGAUCUGGACAUCAUUACAUCCCACAGCAUCUCAGCGGCACUAUGAAGCUGUGUGAGUCAAGGCAGACAGAAUGCCUCACGCAGCGAUGGGCACCUGAAGUGACCCAGACAGCUUGAGGGUGAGAGAAGAGAGUGAAAAGGAAGCCGAAACAAGAGCACUAGGCCACCAUUUCUCUCUUAUGCCAUCUUGAUACUUGCCGCGAUGCUGAGGGAUGUGGAAGGAAAAUCAACCAACUGCAAUUCAAGAGACGGGGGUCGAGAUGUACAUGAUUCUACAGAAGUCAUCCAACAGUUCCGAGUUCUACUCUUCUAUGAACACGUGACUUCUAGCCAAUGGAAUGUUAGUGGAAGGAUGUGUCGGAUAAAAAUCUCUGAUGAGUGAUCCUCCAUGCUGAUUUCCCAAAUGCCAACCGAAUGUAGAGGUUUCCAAGGCCUAAGAGGAGGACAGAAUCACGCAAUAGGAGUCUGGACCCUCAAAUUGCCAUGAGGAAGGCUGUGUUCGAACCAAGAACACCUGUGUGGGACUUUACAGAAGUAAAAAUAAACUUUUUUGUAUGUUAAGUCACUGAAGUUUCAUGGUUUGUUUAUUACAGCACUUAGUAUUACCCUAAUUAAUGCGAGGAUCAAGUGGGGAAAAAAUGGAUUUAAAAACAUUAUGCAAACUCUAAAAUACUGUACAGAUUUAAGGGUUUUUACUGGCUUUGGUUGUGUAAAGUCUUGGGAGUAAGUGCUAAAGUUAUGUUGAAAUAAAAUACUAUUAACAGAUAUUUAUUCAAUGCUUACUAGAGGAUGCAAAUCUUAUGUAGCUUAUCUAAUUUGUUCCUCUUGGCCAC